rnacentral:rRNA from 1 species
GACGAACGCUGGCGGCGUGCUUAACACAUGCAAGUCGAACGGAAAGGCCCUGCUUUUGUGGGUUGCUCGAGUGGCGAACGGGUGAGUAACACGUGAGUAACCUGCCCUUGACUUUGGGAUAACUUCAGGAAACUGGGGCUAAUACCGGAUAGGAGCUCCUGCUGCAUGGUGGGGGUUGGAAAGUUUCGGCGGUUGGGGAUGGACUCGCGGCUUAUCAGCUUGUUGGUGGGGUAGUGGCUUACCAAGGCUUUGACGGGUAGCCGGCCUGAGAGGGUGACCGGCCACAUGGGGACUGAGAUACGGCCCAGACGCCUACGGGAGGCAGCAGGGGGGAACAUUGCACAAUGGGCGGAAGCCUGAUGCAGCAACGCCGCGUGCGGGAUGACGGCCUUCGGGGUGUAAACCGCUUUCGACUGUGACGAAGCGUGAGUGACGGUAAUGGGUAAAGAAGCACCGGCUAACUACGUG